rnacentral:lncRNA from 1 species
GUGCGGCGUUGCAGCACCUGCCACAGUACCUGAGGCUCAUUGCAGACACGAGGCGCCCAGCCCGGCGGGAAGCCGAGAAGGCAGGGGAGACGCCCCACGCUGCAGGAGCUGGUUUCAGGUACCCCGUCUUUCUCAGCGUCCUCACUC